AACUAAUACAAAAAAAUGAGACCCACAUUUUGGAUAUGUUUAGUGUGGGAGUUUGUCUGGUCUGACAAAGUUUGUUGCAAAGGUUUUUAUUUUCCCUUUCUUUCUUUCUUUCUUUCUUUCUUCCUUUCUUUCUUUCUUCCUUUCUUUCUUCCUUUCUUCCUUUCUUUCUUUCUUCCUUCCUUUCUUUCUUCCUUCCUUUCUUCCUUUCUUCCUUCCUUCCUUUCUUUCUUUCUUUCUUUCUUUCUUUCUUUCUUUCUUUCUUUCUUUCUUUCUUUCUUUCUUUCUUUCUUUCUUUCUUUCUUUCUUUCUUUCUUUCUUUCUUUCUUUCUUUCUUUCUUUCUUUCUUUCUUUCUUUCUUUCUUUCUUUCUUUCUUUCUUUCUUUCUUUCUUUCUUUCUUUCUCUCUCUUUCUUUCCUUUCUCUCUCUUUCUUUCUUUCAUUUCUUUCUCUCUUUCUUCCUUCUCUCUUUUUCUUCCUUUCUUUCUCUCUCUCUCUUUUUCUCUUUCUCUCCUUCUUUCCUCCCUAUCUCCCUUCUUCCUGCCUUCCUACAGUCACCCAGACAGUAUGUCUUAUUUAUUUAUUUAUUUGUUUUUUUCACACCCCCUUCUCACAUUAUAGAAAGCUAAAUUAUGUCUUUGGUGUUUCCACUUCUCAGUUAAUUCUCUGAAGGACAGUCCGUUUUAUUGUAAGGUAACAGAGGCAGGGCUUGACCUCAGCUCUCCCUGAUUCUGAGAUCUGCUUUCUGUCCUAUCCCUCCCUCCCAAAGGCUGGCCUUUAUUUUAUUUACAUAGCAUGCUUGGUGCCACACUCAGAAGCACAUCAUUCCCUACUUCACCUUCUCCCUAAUUCUCUCUCCCUAAUUGGCAGCUGGUCUGCUACACAGAGCAAAAUGUGAGCAGAAUCUAUUCCCACAUCAUCUCUCAGGAAAGUUCCAUGUUCCCAGCUUAGCACAUGGGCAGUCUACCACCCCCUCAGCUUUUUCACACUUCUCAAGAUGUCCAUCACCAGGAUUUUUUUUCUCUUGAUCUUUUUUCUCCUGUUCUUCCCUUCCUAUUAAAGAUGAUUAAGGGGAAGAUGGACACCCAGAUUUUCAGCCAGUUUCAAUCUUUCCUGACUGGAGAUGAGCAGACAAAGGAGAGGGGAAUAUGGGAGGAUCUAUCUGGGUCAUGUCCAACCCUGAUGAGUUCUCCCUUUAAGGUUACUUUCUUCAGUUUUUGCAGACACUCCCCCCUUCAUCCCCCAAGGCAGUACCAUCAUUUGUUAGCCUACAUUCUGAAACAUCCU
rnacentral:lncRNA from 1 species